UACGGAGGAUGCGAGCGUUAUCCGGAUUUAUUGGGUUUAAAGGGUGCGUAGGCGGACUGUCAAGUCAGCGGUAAAAUACGGGGGCUCAACCUCCGCCCGCCGUUGAAACUGACGGUCUUGAGUGGGCGAGAAGUAUGCGGAAUGCGUGGUGUAGCAGUGAAAUGCGUAGAUAUGUGGAAGAACACCGAUGGCGAAGGCAGCCUCCUGGGACGCAACUGACGCUCAUACACGAAAGCGUGGGGAGCAAACAGG
rnacentral:rRNA from 1 species